GAACGCUGGCGGCAUGCCUUACACAUGCAAGUCGAACGGCAGCACGGGAGCAAUCCUGGUGGCGAGUGGCGAACGGGUGAGUAAUGUAUCGGAACGUGCCUUGUCGUGGGGGAUAACGUAGCGAAAGCUACGCUAAUACCGCAUACCAUCUAAGGAUGAAAGCGGGGGAUCGCAAGACCUCGCGCGACAAGAGUGGCCGAUAUCAGAUUAGGUUGUUGGUAGGGUAAUGGCUUACCAAGGCGACGAUCAGUAGUUGGUCUGAGAGGACGACCAGCCACACUGGGACUGAGACACGGCCCAGACUCCUACGGGAGGCAGCAGUGGGGAAUUUUGGACAAUGGGCGCAAGCCUGAUCCAGCAAUGCCGCGUGAGUGAAGAAGGCCUUCGGGUUGUAAAGCUCUUUCAGUUGAGAAGAAAAAGUCGUGACUAAUAAUCAUGAUUCAUGACGGUAUCAACAGAAGAAGCACCGGCUAACUACGUG
rnacentral:rRNA from 1 species